GCCGGGCAUGGUGGCAUGCACCUGUAGUCCUAGCUACUUGGGAGACUGAGGCAGAAGUCGCUUGAGCCCAGGCACUCUGGGCUGUAGUGCACUAUGCCGACAAAGUGUCCACACUAAAUUUAGCAUCAAUAUGGUGACCUCCAGGGAGCGGGGGGCCACCAGAUUGCCUAAGGAGAGGUAAACUGAUCCAGGUGGGAAAUGGAGCAAGUCAGAGCUCUGGUGAUGAUCAGUGGUGGGAUUGUGGUGGUAAAUAGCUGCUGCAUCCAGUCUGGACAACAUAGUGACAUCAUUUCUUA
rnacentral:SRP_RNA from 1 species